rnacentral:lncRNA from 10 species
ACAAGAAAAGGAGAUUAGGGUACAGAUACACACACAGGGAAGAAUGCAUGAAGUCCCUGGGAUAAGGCAGCCAUUUACAAGCCAAGGGAAAGGCCUCAGAAGAAACCAGUCUUGCCGACAGCAUGAUCUCUCAUCCUCAGAACUGGGAGGAAAUACAUCUGUGUUGUUUCAGCCACUCAGUUGGUGAUCUCUAUUACAGCAGUCCUUAGCAAACCGAUUUAGACAGGGCUUUGGAUGCCAACCAGAAGAAGCUGUAGGAAUUGGCACAGAUCCAGAGCAUGGACAAGGACUUACACUUCUGCUGAAGGCAAAGGAGAAACAGCAUUAUCUAAAAAGCAACCAAGACUUCAGGGGAUGAGAACCCACUAACUAUUACAGUCCACGUGUCAGUCGCGUUUCUCAUCGUGAUUAACACCCCAGCCAUUGAUUUGCUCUUCAGUGUCUAGUGAGCAAGGCUACUGUGAAUCUUUCCUCAGGAGGACUGAUGGAGUCACAUUUCUGAGCCUACAGAGCUGAGGGCAAGACCUGAGAAUGGUGAUGUCAAAAUGCCAACCAGCGAGACCUCUUGGUGGCCAGGUGCUUGCUUGUGCUCCUCCUGUGCUUGGACAUCAGACUCCAGGUUCUUCAACCUUUGGACUCUGGGACUUGCACCAGCGGCUUCCCAAGGGUUCUCAGGCCUUAAGCCACAGACUGACGACUGUACUGUCAGCUUCCCUGGUUUUGAGGCUUUUGGACUUGGACUGAGCCACUACUGGCAUCUCUCUUUCCCAGCUUGCAGACAGUCUAUCAUGGGACUUUGCCUUGUAAUUGUGCUAGCCAAUUCUUCCUAAUAAACUUCCUUUUAUAUA